ensembl:lncRNA
GAGCAGAAGCACAGGGACAGCACCAGUUACAGGACCGGCUGAGCUACCCAUGCGAGGAAGUCGCAGGGGAUUGGCGCCGUCUGUUCUCACUGUGUAGGGGUCUCACACAUGAGGUCGGAGGUCUCAAGACGGCCUCCCUCACCAACACUCACCAAGACCUCUCGGCAGGACUGACACUGCCUGUCCUUGUAGCUUUGGGUCCUCGUGUCGUGAAUGGGGACGCCACGGGGGAGCAGAGUGAGAGUGCUGGAGCAUCCGAGUAGCGGCGUGUCCGCCGGCACGUGCAGGCACCUGUGGUGCUGGAGGCCGACAAAAGCAACCCAUCCCAGGGCUCAGCCCUCUCUGGGAUCAGAACUCGGGGCCACACAGUAUACACAGCCCAGGGAUCGCCUGUAACCACCAACAGCAUCCCUGGUUCACCCACCUGCAAGCCACACGUCUCUCAGCGGCUGUGAUGGCCACUGCCUGGGCCUGGGAGAGGCGACCAGGCCACCCUGCACUGCACAGUCAAGGUCCCCUCACAAGCCAGACACCCCAGCCUGGGGCUCCAUCUCCUUUCCCACCCUCAGCUUCCCCAUGGCUGCCACAACCCACUCAGACCCACACACAGGGCAGCCCAGGAGCACCCUGGGCAGGGACAGGGACUGUCCCAACUCACCCACACACAGGGCAGCCCAGGAGCACCCUGGGCAGGGACAGGGACUGUCCCAACUCACCCACACACAGGGCACCCCAGGAGCACCCUGGGCAGGGACAGGGACCAUCCCCACUCACCCACACACAGGGCACCCCAGGAGCACCCUGGGCAGGGACAGGGACCGUCCCCACUCUGACCCACACACAGGGCAGCCCAGGAGCACCCUGGGCAGGGAUGGGGACCGUCCCCACUCUGACCCACACACAGGGCAGCCCAGGAGCACCCUAGGCAGGGACAGGGACCGUCUCCCCUCUCCCACACACAGGGCAGCCCAGGAGCACCCUGGGCAGGGACAGGGGCCGUCUCCCCUCUCCCACAGCAGAGGGUCUCGGAGUUCUUGCUCCGUGAGACAAUCCUGAAGCUGUUGCUCUCGGCAGCACCUCUGCACCAGGGCACCCGGCCCCGCCUUCCUCCCCAUCCACGCUCCCUGAGCCUUGGGUGCCAGUGUCUCCACCCCUCCCAGAUCCACUGUCGGGGAAAAGAGGCCAGGAGAGCUCGGCACCGAGAGGCAGAACGCUUCGACGGAUGACACACAGCCACAGCCGGCACUGGCCCAGCAGCGCUAGGGUCUGCAGGGGUCCCGCGGGAGGAGACAGGAAGCAGCUCGGCUGUUAGUGACCAAGAAAAGCCAAGCAACCCAGUCAGGCAAGUCUCAGGGCCGCGGGGCCUGGCAGUGCUGUGAUGCAGCGAAGACUCUCCCCAGCACUGGUGCAGCGGGACGCAUGACGCUAACAAAGCUGGAAUCCGCACCCCCAAGGGUCCACCCAGCCUGGAUCACAUGGUGCGGGGGAAUGCCUGUGCCUGGCACCACUGACAGGGCCAGGGUCUGUGGCACCUUCCAUCAGUGACCACCAAGGCCUGGAGACCACCCCACCACCCAGCAGGUGAAUGGAGAAACAGCUGGCGCUACAGCUUUACAACGGAACACUACGCAGCCAUGAAAAAUGACCAGCUACAGCCAUGCUCAUAGCACUCGCGAACUCUGAGUGAGAGAAACAGUGAGAUAUCACACAUGGCACCGUAUAACAAACAGCUCACAACAGGCAGACGCAAGCCACGUGACUCGGGACUGUGCUCAGUGGAGGGAGCACAGGGCUGAGCAGGGGAGCCAGCUGUCCUAAGAGGCAGGGCUGUGGCGAGGAAAGGCUGCGGGCCUGGGAGCGACACCGGGCCCCUGCCCCUGCCCAGGGCGCCGGCUUCAGCCUCUCUGCCUCGUCGUGUUCUGCUCUUCCCCGCAGGUCUGCUGCAACAGCAGGUGCACAUGCAGAUCCGAGUCUGCUUCUCACGAAGAUGCAGCCUUGCACGGCGUCUGCCAGCCCAGUAAGUGAACGCUGUGGCGCCUGAGCCAUGGGCCACUGC